GCUACACAUGCAAGUCGAACGGUAGCACAGAGAGCUUGCUCUCGGGUGACGAGUGGCGGACGGGUGAGUAAUGUCUGGGAAACUGCCUGAUGGAGGGGGAUAACUACUGGAAACGGUAGCUAAUACCGCAUAACGUCUUCGGACCAAAGUGGGGGACCUUCGGGCCUCACACCAUCGGAUGUGCCCAGAUGGGAUUAGCUAGUAGGUGGGGUAAUGGCUCACCUAGGCGACGAUCCCUAGCUGGUCUGAGAGGAUGACCAGCCACACUGGAACUGAGACACGGUCCAGACUCCUACGGGAGGCAGCAGUGGGGAAUAUUGCACAAUGGGCGCAAGCCUGAUGCAGCCAUGCCGCGUGUAUGAAGAAGGCCUUCGGGUUGUAAAGUACUUUCAGCGGGGAGGAAGGCGAUAAGGUUAAUAACCUUGUCGAUUGACGUUACCCGCAGAAGAAGCACCGGCUAACUCCGUGCCAGCAGCCGCGGUAAUACGGAGGGUGCAAGCGUUAAUCGGAAUUACUGGGCGUAAAGCGCACGCAGGCGGUCUGUCAAGUCAGAUGUGAAAUCCCCGGGCUUAACCUGGGAACUGCAUUUGAAACUGGCAGGCUAGAGUCUUGAAGAGGGGGGUAGAGGUCCAGGUGUAGCGGUGAGCGGCGUAAAGAGCUGGAAGAUKAAGGGUGGCCAAUGGGGACCCCUGCCCCAAGGAUGAAGMUCGACGGYCAGAUGCURAAGCGCGAGGAGCAAACAGGAUUCGGUACCCUCAUACUCCACGCCGUGAACGAUGUCGACUUGGAGGUUGUGCCCUUGAGGCGUGGCUUCCGGAGCUAACGCGUUAAGUCGACCGCCUGGGGAGUACGGCCGCAAGGUUAAAACUCAAAUGAAUUGACGGGGGCCCGCACAAGCGGUGGAGCAUGUGGUUUAAUUCGAUGCAACGCGAAGAACCUUACCUGGCCUUGACAUCCACGGAAUUCGGCAGAGAUGCCUUAGUGCCUUCGGGAACCGUGAGACAGGUGCUGCAUGGCUGUCGUCAGCUCGUGUUGUGAAAUGUUGGGUUAAGUCCCGCAACGAGCGCAACCCUUAUCCUUUGUUGCCAGCGAGUAAUGUCGGGAACUCAAAGGAGACUGCCGGUGACAAACCGGAGGAAGGUGGGGAUGACGUCAAGUCAUCAUGGCCCUUACGGCCAGGGCUACACACGUGCUACAAUGGCGCAUACAAAGAGAAGCGAACUCGCGAGAGCAAGCGGACCUCACAAAGUGCGUCGUAGUCCGGAUCGGAGUCUGCAACUCGACUCCGUGAAGUCGGAAUCGCUAGUAAUCGUAGAUCAGAAUGCUACGGUGAAUACGUUCCCGGGCCUUGUACACACCGCCCGUCACACCAUGGGAGUGGGUUGCAAAAGAAGUAGGUAGCUUAACCUUCGGGAGGGCGCUUACCACUUGUAU
rnacentral:rRNA from 1 species